rnacentral:misc_RNA from 1 species
GGUAUUCUCAACCGUGUCUUGGCAUCUUGCUUGAUUCACGGAUUGGAUUGUGGAGGUUGCUGGCGGUGAAAUACUGUCGGCUCUUCUGAAAUAUAUUAGCAAAGGACGAGCGAGUCUUGCGUGCACGGCCUUCGACGUGAUAAUGAUCGUUGUUCGCUGGAGCAUCAGACAUGCAUUGAUCGUUCCAUGCUUCGAAUAAAAUCUGUGCUUAGCUACUAGUCUGUCUCGGACGAACGCGGCACUAAUCAAUCGAA